GGCUUGUGACCUGUUUAGUGGUCGGACUUGCAAUAGCUCUGUUGUUCGUGCUGCAUCUCAAAAAGAAGAAAGACACAGAAAGAAAAAGGAAUGCAGACAAUCCCCAACAGGGUAUAGAUUUGAUAAAUAAACUCGUUGAGAAAGUUGUACAGAAAUAAGGUGAAUUUUGGGCACUGUGCUCCAAAGUGAACAGCUGCUGGUCUGCAGCCUGCAUCACUAUCUUCCAGAGAUGUUACUGGACAGAGACUAGUCAGUCUGAAAUAACAGCUUGGAGCAAGUCCCGGACUAAGUAUGUAACGGCUCCAGGCUCUUCACUCAGAACUUCUGCUCCAUCUCUCUCACCUGGACAUUUUGCUGCUUGUACAGUGAGCUCUCCUUGUGUGGAACACCUUAAAGGCCAACAUGUUCCCAUCCCUGUCAUUCCAAGCCACAGAUCACCCAGACAUCAUGUGUCUGAAGGCAGGUAUCAUCAGAGAGCUAACACCUGGCCCCUAGCUACAUCAGGACACCGAGGCUGUCAGGCCGUGAUGGUGGUCUGUCAGUGAUUUUUAGAAAUAGCUUUAACUAUCGGUUGGUUAGCACCGAGACUGUCCCCUCAUUUAAACUCAAUAUGACUCGGGGAAAAAAGGAAAAUCCCAUAUUCUGCUCUUGCUGCUAACGUUUCUGUCCCUCUGGACCUUUUCCUUUUUUCCAAUUUUGUGAUGUUUUUAAGUGCACCUGCACAAAUGAAUUGUUGGAUGUGCAAAUUGUUUUUUCAAAUAAUCUCAAUAUGACUAAAAUUGGUAAGUCAAGUUUUUAGGCUAUUUUAAUUUACCAACCUCGGCCCAUCUGACCCUAUCCUGUCUGAUGUUACUUAGUUUUUAUCUUGAGUUAUAAAGUUGGACAUAGUUUUAAUCAUUAGUGAUUUUCAUGUUGAUGAUGCUUCUAAGGCUGCAUCUGAAUUUCUUGAUAUUACUGAGCUUUUUAACUUUAUAGAUGUUUCUGGACCCACACAUUUAAUUUAUUUUAUAUAAGAAGGGGACAAUGCAAAUUAAUAAAACACAUGAUUAUACAUGGGUUAAAAAUGCCAGAAUUGGCUAAAAGGCUAUUUUUCUUCUGUAGUCCCCUGGCCUCGAUGUUAAAAAGGAAUAAAUAAAAUAAGAAAAAACAAGGACAACACAAGCAGAACUUGGCACAAAUAGUUUCAGUCCUGACAUGUAUAUGUAUUGACCUUACAUUGUUUUAUCUGCUUAGUAAAAGACCAAUAUGUUUAAUUGUCUAAUAAGGUGUGGGAUUGAGUUCCACUCUCUUGACCCUCUGAUGGACCAAGCUGACUGACUAAAAGAACUUUUCUGCAACAAAAUAACCCAACCUUCCCUCUCUCUCCCCUUGUGACACGAUCAGUAUCUUUUCUUCUGUUUAUGUCGGCAACAAGUGGUGAUGGAGCUAGGUUAUAAGUGACUUUAUUUACCAAGCACACAUUUACAUAUUUCAUUAGGUAUUCCUAAAAUCUAGGUUUCAGUGUGCGGGGAUACUCUGGACUUAGUUUUGUCACACAUAAGUCUGAUCAUAAGUGUGUUCUUUAUAAUUUGUCAUAUUUUAUAGAUCUAAUGCCCCAUAAAAAAAAUUUUUCCAGACACAUCAUUAAUUACAGUCCCUGAGUUGUCAGACUGUAGUGAUGUGGAGACCCUGGUCCAGUUAUUUAAUCAACAUUGUUCCUCAGUUUUGGAUUCAGUAUCUCUGUUUCAGUCUAGACUAAUAUCUGUUAAGUCUUCACCUUAGAUAAAUGACUCAAUUCACAAUUUGGACUCCCUUUCUCCUGUUUGAUUAGAGGACAUCUCCAAAUGUAAUUGUUAAUGAAAAAUGCGGUUGGAGAGAACAAAUGGAUUAUGUGUAAAAAAAAUAAUAAUAAUCUCAAAGUCUGUAGGAAUCAUUAGGAAAAUUAGUCCACUUCUUGAUAGAUCCUGUUUAUUGACAUAUUAUAGUUUAAUUUAUCCAUAUCUUACGUAUUGUAAUGUUGUAUGGGCCAGUACAUAUUCCACAUACUUACACAAACUUAAUUUAAUCCAGAAAUGAUUUGUUAGGAUUGCUAUAAAUUUAAAGCUCAGGGAUCCAUCCUUUCUCUUAUUCUUUAAGCUUAAAAUACUACCUAUUAAUAACACAAACAUUCUGCAAACAUGUAUCUUUAUCUAAAAGGUCAAAUACCAAGGCCACACUAUACCAGACCAUUUCCAACAAUGUUUCCAUAAUAGCACAAAUAUUCAUUCUAUGUCAACGAGACAAACCAGCCUGCUGUACCUUCCUCCUCCUCGUACCACCAGCAGACCACUUUAUAAAAUACGGAGGAGUUUAAUAUCUACAGCGGACAUGCAACUCCUCCUCCCUACCUGUAUACAAAAGAAAACUAAAAGAAACAUUGUACUCAGUGGAUAUCUAGCCUCCUGACGGGCAGCUAUUGAAAUUAUGUACCAGCUUUUUGAACUCUUCUUCGGCUUUUAUUAUCUAAAUCUCCUGCUUUUGACUGUAAUCAUAAAUUUCAUUCCUUUAUUGUCAUCAUUUUUUUAUUUUCACCAAAUUGAGUUUAAACCUGUUACUCUCUCUAAUUAUGUUUGUUAUUCUACUUUUGCCAUAUUGAGUUAAUUUCAUGUCCUUUUUUUAUUAUUAUUUUUUAUUAUGUUCUAAUGACCUUGUGAGGUCAGAAACAUGUAGUGGGGGGGGAGGUCAGAACCCCCCCUACGGGUUUCUGACCUCUCCAGCACACACUUUCUCUUGCUAUGUAAAAAACAUACAGUAUGUUGUGAUUUAUGUUGUAUUAUUUUUUUAUGAAUGUGUGCAAACCCAUAAACAAUCAAACAAA